rnacentral:rRNA from 1 species
UACAGGGGGGCAAGCGUUGUUCGGAAUUACUGGGCGUAAAGGGCCAGUAGGCGGCCAACUAAGUCCGACGUGAAAUCCCCAGGCUUAACCUGGGAACUGCGUCGGAUACUGGAUGGCUUGAAUUCGGGAGAGGGAUGCAGAAUUCCAGGUGUAGCGGUGAAAUGCGUAGAUAUCUGGAGGAAUACCGGUGGCGAAGGCGGCAUCCUGGACCGACAUUGACGCUGAACGGCGAAAGCUAGGGGAGCAAACCGGG